rnacentral:misc_RNA from 1 species
GCACCUCAACCUCAAUACUGUUCUCGGCCAGUGGUUUUCCUGAGUCAGGUGUCCUUUUCAUCUCUGAUUGCUAUUUAUCAUCACAAGUAUCUCACUAUGAGAAGCUCUGUGGAACACUAGAAGUAGCUUAGCCAGAUCUGAAAAUGAUCUCCAUCUCUUCAACUGGGAAUCUCAUUUUUUACAUAAUGUGAAAGAAGAAAUUGAAGCUCAAAAAAUGGCAGUAUAUAUAUUGGUUACUACUUAGGCAAAAAUGGCAGUAGCUGAUAAUGUAAAUAUAGCCGUUCUAGGGGGGCAUUGCAAUUUUGGAUACAUAUAAGAGGGGACGGAGGUGCAGACGCUUUUGCUUUCUCUUCUUUCUUGGUUUUGUGUUUAGCUUUAGU